AUCAUUACAGAGUUACUACUCCAAACCCAUUGUGAACCUUACCUAUGUUCUGUUGCCUCGGCGGCGUCGGUCAGCGCCCCUCUGAAAAGAGGACGAUGCCCCUCCCGCCGGCAGCACCAAACUCUUGAAUUUUACAGCGGAUUACAGUUCUGAUUUGAAAACAAAAAACAAGUUAAAACUUUCAACAACGGAUCUCUUGGUUCUGGCAUCGAUGAAGAACGCAGCGAAAUGCGAUAAGUAAUGUGAAUUGCAGAAUUCAGUGAAUCAUCGAAUCUUUGAACGCACAUUGCGCCCGGCAGUAAUCUGCCGGGCAUGCCUGUCCGAGCGUCAUUUCAACCCUCGAACCUCCGUUUCCUUAGGGAAGCCUAGGGUCGGUGUUGGGGCGCUACGGCGAGUCCUCGCGACCCCCGUAGGCCCUGAAAUACAGUGGCGGUCCCGCCGCGGUUGCCUUCUGCGUAGUAAGUCUCUUUUGCAAGCUCGCAUUGGGUCCCGGCGGAGGCCUGCCGUCAAACCACCUAACAACUCCAGAUGGUUUGAC
rnacentral:rRNA from 1 species